rnacentral:rRNA from 1 species
UGGGGAAUAUUGCACAAUGGGCGAAAGCCUGAUGCAGCAACGCCGCGUGAGUGAUGAAGGUCUUCGGAUUGUAAAGCUCUGUCUUUUGGGACGAUAAUGACGGUACCAAAGGAGGAAGCCACGGCUAACUACGUGCCAGCAGCCGCGGUAAUACGUAGGUGGCGAGCGUUGUCCGGAUUUACUGGGCGUAAAGGGUGCGUAGGCGGAUGUUUAAGUGAGAUGUGAAAUACCCGGGCUUAACUUGGGUGCUGCAUUUCAAACUGGAUAUCUAGAGUGCAGGAGAGAAGAAUGGAAUUCCUAGUGUAGCGGUGAAAUGCGUAGAGAUUAGGAAGAACACCAGUGGCGAAGGCGAUUCUCUGGACUGUAACUGACGCUGAGGCACGAAAGCGUGGGUAGCAAACAGGAUUAGAUACCCUGGUAGUCCACGCCGUAAACGAUGAGUACUAGGUGUAGGAGGUAUCGACCCCUUCUGUGCCGCAGUAAACACAUUAAGUACUCCGCCUGGGAAGUACGAUCGCAAGAUUAAAACUCUAAAGUGAAUUGAC